AUGGAAGUUCCCGGGCUAGGAGUCUAAUCAGAGCUGUAGCCUCCGGCCUACACCAGGGCCACAGCAACGUGGGAUCCGAGCUGUGUCUGCAACCUACACCACAGCUCAUGGCAGCACCAGAUCUUUAACCCACUGAGCAAGGCCAGGGUUGAACCCGCAACCUCAUGGUUCCUAGUCAGAUUCGUUAACCACUACACCACAAGGGGAACUCCAGGAAUUUUUUUUUUUUUUAAGCAUCCCAAAAUUUUAAUAUUUCAUUCACUUCAACAAUCCUCUGUCUGGUACCUUUAUCUCCUUUACCCUGUUUUAUUUUCAUUUGCUUCUGGCAAAAUCUCAGUGUUGAGAUCCUUAUGUCUCCAUUCCCCAUGCCUGCAUGCAUGCAUACGAGCAGUGAUUCAGAAGAUCACACUCGGUCAUCAAAUUCAUGUUCAAAGCAUUAGUAUCCUUUCCAUAAAUGGUUUCUUUUCUCUUUCUUGGAAAGCAGAUAGUUCAAACACCUCCACUGUCCACAAAUUUGAUUUUCCCAUCUCCCCUUAAUUCUCAAGAGAUUCUUUCACCUUUCUACUUCUUUCUACUUCACAGAGAGAAUAGGUAAUUACUCCCUUAAAUUUCUCCAAACAACUCCACGACUUCGCCCAUCUGCGAUUGCAUCUUCAGCGUCUUUCUCAUUACAAUGAAGCAUAUGUCAUCCUGCCUCCAGCCACUAUACCUAUCUCUUCUUUGGAUAACAUGCUCUGCUGGAUUAUCUUUGACUUGAGCUAUUGAUUCUUCUUUAUUUUCUCCCUUCAAAUCUUCUUUCUUAUUGAUUCCAUUACAUCCAAUAUUCUUUACAAGAAGCAGGAGGAAAGAAAACCUCCUCUAACCAUUCAUCCCUCUCAAUUUUGCCCCAUAUCUUUUCUGUCUCUCAAAGUCAAAGGUCUUGACAGAAAUUUUCUUCCCUUAUUUACCAUCCAUUAACUCUAAAUUUUACUGCAACUUGCUUUUACCCCCACAACUCCACUAAACUCUGAUCAAGGCCACUGUGACCUCUGCGCUGCUGUAUCACUCUGGUAUUUUAGAAUAUACAAAUCGUUUUUCUUUACUUCUUUUUCCUUAAUAUUUUUUUCAAACUAAUACUAUUAUGCACAUUUUCUGAGCAAGAAACUGGUAUUCUGAAAAUUAAUUGGUCAAAAUCACAAACAUAGAUAUCCAGUGGCAAAGACAGGUUUUGAAUUGAGGGCUUCUGACUCAGAAAUCUGUAUAUUGGUACAGAAAAUAAGGUGAAUCAAUUAUAUUCUCAUAUUCAUUAUUUCACGGAUAUUUACAUCUUAUUUUUCACUUAAAAUUAUAGAUUUCCGUGGCCUUCUUGAUAGCACAGGCUACGGCAUCUGAAGUUAUUAAUAAUUUAAGAUGACCCAGAAAACUCUGGGAAACAGGGAAGCUAAUGAGAAAUAUUUUGCCUUAUUAAUUUCCUAGUAAAAAUAAGGACAUUAAACAUGUUGGAGACAGACUAUCCAUCCCAAUAAUGUAAAUUGACAUACAAAAGUGCAAAGGGAAAUAUUGAAAGAUUCAAAAUCUUACUCAUUAUUAGGAACCUGCAUGAUUGGCCUAAAAAGCCCAAUAUUGAAUGUGUCUCUGAUCUGACUUGGAAAUAAUUUUCCAUUUUUUCUCUUUUCCUUUAAAAUUCAUUCAUUGAGUAACUUAUAUUUUGCUAAUAAAAAAUUAUACAGAAGGAUAGUUACAACCCACAAGAAUUUUCAGUGCAUUGCUGUGAAAUAGGAAUGUGCAAAAUGUCCCAGGAGCAGAAAAAAGUUGUAAAUAUGACACAAAUGAACCUAUAUAUAAAACAGAAACAGACUCACAGACAUAGGAACAGACUUGUGAUUGCUAAGUGAGGGAAGAGGGGAGGAAGUAGGAUGAACUGGGAGUCUGGGGUUAGUAGAUGCAAACUAAUACAUAUAGAAUAGAUAGCAAUGAGGUCCUACUGUAUAGCACAAGGAACUAUAUCCAGUCUCUUAGGAUAGAACAUGGUGGAAUAGAUGAGAGAAAGAACGUAUGUAUAUGUUUGACUGGGUCACUAUGCCACAUAGCAGAAAUUGGCACAGCUUUGUAAAUCAUAGACACUUUAAUAAAAAUAAAUAAACAAUUAAACAUAUUUAUAAAAAACUUAAUGAUUGGAGAUACUGUCCAAGUGGACAGGGAAGAAAGAGCAUCUGAGUAGAGAGACCAGCAGUGCAAAACACAAAGACAUACAUAUCAUGGAGUGUGGGAUUAGAGAUCCACAGGCAGUUAUUCCAAUGAAUUAUUAGUCAGACUUUAAAUAAUAAAAGUACCAGGAUGACAGUACAAAACAAUUUGGAGGAACAAAAACAGCAGAUUGGAUUUAUUGUUCACACAAUGGAAAAUCUGUGGCUUCUUUCAAGAACAGAUGGAUCAGAGUAUUUAAAAGACACCAUCAGUUCUCUGCUUUGUUUUUCUCCCCUCCCUUUCUUUCUUUCUCCCUUCCCUUCGCAUCCCUCAUAUCCCUCUCUUCUCUUCUUUCUUCUGAGUUAGCCUGAUCCUCAGGUAGGCUCUUACUACAGAGAAAUUAAAAUAGCCACCAGCAGUGGUGAGCUAAGUGCUCAUCCUCCUAUUCCUGAAUCACAAAGUGUGUAUUUAUUUCAUGACCAAUCUCUUAUGCAUGAAUGCAAAUUUAUUGAUAUGUCUGCCACUACCCUAUCCCUCUUUAUUUCUAUUUUUAUCAAUAUUUCAGUUAUGUAUAUAUUAGUUUAAGAAACCCUGCUCUGGAUAAAUGAGGAGACUUUGUCAGGAGUGCAGUAAAUUAGUAUGUGAGAAAAAACAGGAUAACUGUAGUAAUUAUAGGGAUAAUUCAUGGAAAUAAAAAAUGCUAUGGAGUGUGUGAUGAUACAGAUAUAUACUCUAUUGCCUGUACUAUGUGUCUGUUUAUUUAACCAGUUUUUUUAGUCAACUACAUAGUCAUGUAAAUGUAGGGUUUUUUCCACUACUUUUAAACUCAGCAAUAAGAGUGCUCAUUUGAAACUGUUUUCUCAGUUUAUAUUUUUAGAAGAGGCAGUGCAAAGGAAAAAAAUAAUGCACAAUUUUAAAUAUAUACAUAUUGGCCAACAUGCCUCCAGUAAAAAUUUUCCAGUUUUUUGCUUCCAUCAGCAAUCUACUGCUUUAAUUUUCCAGCAGCAUAGACUCCCCAAAAUUAUGUAUUUUUAAAUUCUAUCAGAAGAUAUUUCUUUGUGUAUAUUUUCACAAAGCAAGCUCUAUCUAUAGGUGUCUUCUGUUUCCUUACAUGGUUUGGUUAGUAAAGUUGGCAGAGUUGGUUUAUCAGCACAUUUACUAUCUUAUGUUUUCAUGUCUAAUUAUAAAAUAAUCUGUGUAUCCACUUCAAGAAGAAGGAGAGAGAGAAUGACAAACCCUACAUUUUUACAAAAAAAAAAAAAAAAAAAAAACCAAAAACAAAAAACAAAAAACACAAAACCCAAUAGGUUUGCAGUGCAAAUUAGAAAGCAAGAAGCCAAAUGAAGAUGGCAUAUAUUACUGGCAUCAGGAGUCAGAUGGAAGGGCCAGAAAAACAAAUGUGAGAACCAUUUGGAUGUAAUUAGGAAGCAGGAGGCAGGGAAAAGAGAGGAAAAAGUCUGUGAACUAGGGAACAGAUGAUGCUUCUAGCCCAAACUCCCCCAAUCUUUCAGCUUGCCCUUCUUGUUUGUUCUGCUCUAACACUAUAUGAGGACACACACUGAAAUGCACUCAGCUUUGAUAUUAUUAAUAAUUUUGAAAUUAAAACCAGCUGUGUACAAAAUACUAUAAACCAAAUACUUGAAUUUAUUGUCUUAGCUUUAUUCAUCCCUAUUAAGACAUUUAUUCCAUUAAAUUACAGUUUUAUUUUCAGAGUCUUUAAACUCUGAGCACCAGAAAAUUGUUCCAACUGCACAUUUUUAAGUACCUCUGUACAUGCUGCAUACUAGAUGCUUAAUGGGGAAUUUUAAAAAUUAAUUUAUGCAUCAAUUUUUACAUCUUCAUGGGUUUCCCACAACAACUCCCACUCAAAUAAAUUGAAAACAAAAAUAAAGUCCAUCAUCUUUAUUAUUUAAAGAUAUCAAAGACAUAGAUAUCAUGGUCAACAAUAAACUUUAAGUGCUAGGUUCUAAAUGUACAAGAGUUGGCCCUGGAGAGUUCUAUGCCCUUGAUGUGUCUUUCUUUAAAUAAUUGGGGCAGGCAAAGGUGAAGUGAAAAGGGAACUAACAUUUGUAUUACUUACUCCUAUGUAUAAAGCACAGUGUUUGCCACCUUACAUGCAUUAUCUGUAAGCCCAGAACAAACCCAGUAUCAUGCCCCUGGGUGCAUUUGGGGAAAAUGUGGCUUAUAGAUAUUCAUGAAGUUUCCUCAAGGUUUUAUUUAACACCAGGAGUUGGACGAUGCAGGAUGUAAAUACAUUUCCUUUACCUUGCUGGAUGUUGCCUGCCCUUUUUCACUUUUAAUCAAGCCAGGCAGGAUUUCCCUGUUUCUUUUCAGUCACAUAAAAUGUGAGGAUAAGUAGUGAGAUUCUCAUCAGCACAUCUUUCAUUCCUAACAAUUAAAAUGACUAAUAAUCUCAUUUUUGUUUACUUCAUAUUUUCCUGCCUAGAAUACCCUUUGUAUAUUUUUCUCCUCUUCUUCCUCUUUACUAGAUACCUCUCAUAUUGUUUAUUGAAACAAUACUUACACCCUCUAGAAAGGAAGACCUUCUAAAUAGUUAUAUCUUUUAACUCAGUAGCCAUACAGGAUACUUCUGCUACCCACUCCUCCCCAUUUUCCCUCCUAAGCAUGAACCAGAACAUAGGGUAUGUAAGAUGAUGGGGAAGAUCAUACCUGUUGGGGAAGAUCAUACCUGUUCUAACUGCAAACACUUGUCAGAGCGCUACUCUCAGGCUCACCUCCAAGUCUCUGUAACUUUGCAGUUUUUAAAUAAAUCUUUUUUUUUUUUUUUUUUUUAAUUUGCUGCACUCAUGGUAUGUAGAUGUUCCCAGGCCAGGGAUCAAACCUGUACCACAGUAGCAGCCCAAGCCACUGCAGAGACAAUGAGGCGUCCUUAACCCUGUGUGCCAGAAGAGAAGUCCCCAACUGUGCCUUUUAAAGUUAAGAUAAAAUGACUUUCUUCUUAAGUACAUAACUACUCUGAUUUUUGUGUUAAGGCUACCUGCCAUUCAAUCAUUGUUCUAGGUCAUAGAAAUACAACUUUCAAAAACAAACAAAUAAACAAAAACAAAGAAAGAAAAACAAACUUGCUGUGCUCAUCAGGGUUAUAUUCUAGGAAUUAUCCUAGACUAAAAUUUCCAGAAGGUAAAAGCAGACAUGAUAGUUACUAUUCUGGUUAUUCUGUCUGCUUUGGGUGAUAAUGGUAAUGUUCUGAUGACAAUAUCAAUGAAAAAAGGUCUGAUUCAUGCUAAUUUGUAAGUUUAGUCUUUGGGAAAUGUUGGAAAUAUGGUCCUCUUUUGUAGCAGUUUGGGAGGGGAUACCAUUGGUGAAAUAAAUCCCAAAUAGACUGGAUGUUAGAAUCCCAAGUAAAAAUGGCAAAUUACAUCUAACCCGAUGAUGCUUGAAGUUUAUGCACAUUCAAAAGCUGCUAGGGAGCUUUUUAAAAAACCCUAACUCCCAUCUGACAUGCUACAUGAAUUAAAUCAAAAAAUUGAGGUGUAAGACCCAGGUAUCAGUUACUAUUUUUUCAAACUCAGCAUAGAGAUAAACUCGAGAGCCAAUGAGCUAAACAUACUUUAGCAAUCUUUAACGUACAUACAAAUCAACCAGAGAUCUUAUUAAAUAUCAGUUGUAGGUUAAUAGAGCUAGGGUGGGGCCUAGAUUCUUCAUGUCUAACUUUGCAACAGCUGCUGCUGUUGAUCUGCAGGCCACACUGUGAGUGGCAAGGCUCUGAACAAGAUGUGUCACUUUCUUUUUUUUUUUUUUUUUUGUCUUUUGUCUUUUUGUUGUUGUUGUUGUUGCUAUUUCUUGGGCCGCUCCCGCGGCAUAUGGAGGUUCCCAGGCUAGGGGUUGAAUCGGAGCUGUAGCCACCGGCCUGCCAGAGCCACAGCAACGUGGGAUCCGAGCCGUGUCUGCAACCUACACCACAGCUCACGGCAACGCCGGAU
rnacentral:lncRNA from 1 species